GCCAGGGUAGCUCAGUGGUAGAGCAGAGGACUCAUAAGCCUUUGGUCGCGGGUUCAAAUCCCGCCCCUGGCACCA
rnacentral:tRNA from 1 species